rnacentral:rRNA from 1 species
AUUGAACGCUGGCGGCGUGCCUAACACAUGCAAGUCGAGCGGUAACAGGUGUAGCAAUACAUGCUGACGAGCGGCGGACGGGUGAGUAACGCUUGGGAAUCUGCCUAUUAGGUGGGGGACAACCCGGGGAAACUCGGGCUAAUACCGCAUACGCUCUACGGAGGAAAGCCGGGGACCGCAAGGCCUGGCGCUAAUAGAUGAGCCCAAGUCGGAUUAGCUAGUUGGUAGGUAAUGGCCUACCAAGGCGACGAUCCGUAACUGGUCUGAGAGGACGACCAGUCACACCGGAGCUGAGACACGGUCCGGACUCCUACGGGAGGCAGCAGUGGGGAAUAUUGGACAA